AAGAUAGANUUUUACUGAAGGUCAGUGCCGAGUAUUAUUACCGACAAACCAAGGCUUGUGUUUAGGGAUUUGAUUUGAGCUAUGGAUUAAAGAUGNGGUGAGGUUGUGGUUCAUCACUCAGCUUUGUUUCUCUAUUGGCCUGAAUCAGUGAUUUAGUCAAGGUAGCGCACAUCACAGACAUGAAUAACACAACUAGUCAGAAGCCUCCAUCAAGAUUAGGAGAGUCCUAUUCAAUUCCCGAACUGACAGCUUGGUCGAUCGCUUUUGGUGUUGAAGCACUNCUCAUUGUAUGUGGCAACAUUCUGACCAUUUCUACAUUUAUUGGGACGCGUAGACUUCGCCGCAAUAGCACUUUACUCCUAAUUAACCUUGCAGUGACUGACCUAUGUGUUGGCGGGCUCAGCAUUCCCAUCUUCCUCUUUGUCUUUGUGGAUUACUUUUACUAUAAAGACUACAACAGAGUUGUCGAUGCCAUACAUCGCUUUGUUGAUGCUGGAACUGCUCAUGCGUCCUUGUUCUCUCUANUGUUAGUGUCUCUAGAGCGCGUGCGUGUAAUUGUAUGGCCGCUGCAACAUCGAGUGCAUGCAAAGAAGAUCAUAUUUUUAUCAAUUGCGAUUGCGUGGAUCAUGGCGUUAAUUCUCCCUACUCUGCAGUACACAGGAACCAAGGUACCAGUCUCGUACUAUAUUGGUGUACCUAUCAUUGCCAUUUCGUUGAUCAUCAUGUGUGCUGCUUACUUGAUUAUAUGGAUCCANGUUCGUUACAAGCGACAAAAAAGCAUUCGNAGUAAAUCCAGCGACUUUGAACGAGCGUUCGCCUUGACCUUGUUCAUUGUGACCAUCACGUCUGUCUGCGCAUGGCUGCCUUACGAGAUCAUCCUCAUCAUCAGCACGCUGUGUAAGGGNGCCUGUGCACCAUUUUCCAUCAAUGUCGUCUAUACUACCAAGCUGUUGCAUUAUGGGAAUUCUCUCAUUAACCCAGUGAUCUACAGUCUCAGGUUUCCGGAGUUCAAGAAAGCUGCCUUUCGCAUCUUNAGUGCUCGUCGAAGCAGNGGUGGUUCUGGGAAGAACAACGGUGANCAGGCCAAUAUCCCACUUCAAGAGGUUGUACCGUCUCCCAACCAAACUAACAACACGUCAGUGAGGUGGACAUGGAAAUCACGAAGUGCGAGAGGAUCCACUAAGAGUAAUGGUAGUCCACGACUUCCUGGAAAAGACGCCUGCAGGAGAAAGGACGACCUGGAAGACUUGGUGGAGAAAUCGUAGACACAAGUGUCACGAAGAGGGUGCGAUUUGGUAUUGAUUAUGAUAAAGAGGGUCCGAUCUGGUAUUGAUCAAGAAUUAUUGGACAACUGAUUUACAUGCACCGAUAUCAAUUAAUGUUACCGGUAUAAAUAAAUGUUGUUCAGGAUUGUGNUGAAAAUAUUUUGGCAAUGCUUUGAAUCAAGACNACAUUGCAGUGAUCACUAGCUAGAUAUCAAUAUUUAUCGUAAUAUUAGUCGGUUUUUCUUAUGAAUUUGAUCUAUUAUCUAAUCAUAUAAUCUUUAGCUUUAACAAAAUGUAGAUAUUGCAUGUAAUGAUAUUGAUUAAUAAUUGUGUUAAAAAAAAUAACUGUUAACGAAUGUGUGUCAAUUAAAAGCUGGGGUUAGCGAAAAAAAAGGUUUUUAAAAGCCACUAUUUAUCAUAAAGAUAACAAUAUACCAUAAUCUGUGCGAUUCGGCGCUGCUAAAACACUUAUCACAAUAACACUGUGGAUGCCAUGUUGUAUUUGCCUUUCUGUGGCAAAAUAUGGUCGUUUAAGACGUCCUAGUCUAAUUGAUCAUAUUUCAAGUUGUACUUUAAUACUCAUUAACCUGAGUUGAUUGACUGUGUUAUAAUUAUGAUGCUUUUUGCGUGUAAAUAGAUGGUUAUCGUAAGUCGGACCAGAUUGAAUGCAUUGGUUCUCUAGUAUUCCAUAUCACUGCUGUCGACAUCAUUCUCGUCAUUAAAUGUAAAAAAAUAAUAAUUUCUUUAGGGUGAUUCUCAACACCACGUGAUCAGAAAUAUGCAUAUUUUUUUACAGUCCUGGCAAAGCUGGUAUGAUGACUUUUUUAUUAUUCUAAUUUAAUUAACCAAUGAUAAGGGUUUGAAUUCAUGGUUUCCAGAUCUCUCUGAUCGGGUAGAACUUGGGUAGAAAUUAGUAGAUAGUGCUGUAAGGCUACAUCCAAUGAAUCUUUUAGCUUAAUGAAAGGACAAUCUAAAGGGAUGAUUGAUUUCAUGAUUAAGUAUGCAAUGUNCCAAUAAAACUUGUAAACACCU
rnacentral:misc_RNA from 1 species